UGACUGAGGGCUGUACGCCAGCAUGAACGUUAUCGGUGGGGUAAUGUUGGGGUUCAGUUCGGGCCUGAUGAUGGGUUUUAGUGAAAGUAGGCGGCUUCCACGUGGUCGGCUCAUCGUACACAUCCGCAUCGACCAACCCGCGGACCACGAUCAGCACCACGCAGGCAAUGGCGGGGAUCAGUAUCUCGAACAGUGUCUGCACGUAGUGGCGCUUCUGGAUGAUCCAGUUCUUCCACAGCAGCAGGAUAAACUUAUCCCAGCUGGAAGUGGCCAUCGUGCCUGUGUCACCCUUUUAUCUGCAACAAACAGAUGAAGGUUACGUUAGGUAGCCUACGAAGUCAUUCUCGCCUACAAAUAGCAGCAAUUUAUCCGCUUUAUCGCACCGGCUUAUCAGUGGGUGAGUACCUGCCCGGUUCCCUAAAUUACCCGCUAAUCAGUAAUCCGCAACGCACAUAUAUAUUCGAUAAUCUGACGAACUAAAACAUCCGAUGGGAAAAUAUUAUUCUUUUCAACCCUACUGCAACUUUCUCAUUUUGGUUGGAAAACAAUCGAAACAUCAAAUAUUGUUUACGGUAGUGAUUAUUUCGAACGUGCUCGCUAUCUGCAGCGGCCACCGAUAGGGAAUAAAGUAAUCGCAAUCAGCUUCAAUCAGCAUGCUCCUCGAACCAGUACAUUGACCAGAGGGCUUCUCCAGAGGGCCAAAUCGAAUUGGUAACAAACGCGUUAAUCGGUUGCGGCUUUUG